GGUUUCUCUUUUGGGCUUGCAUACAGACUGCUGCCACGCCGGCUGGCUAGGUCGCUCUGUAAAUGGGUACCGUAACACACAAUGGCCACAGAGAAGUGAGGCCGUGGAUGCCUUUUCUUCCCCAGCAAGCUUCAACACCUCCCAGCACUAUGGAUGCUAGCCGGAAGGAAGUCUCAUGCUCAGUUCCAGCUUUAUGCCUGAAUCAAGGAUGUAAAGCUCUCAGCUACUGCUCCAGUGCCAUGAAUGCCACCAUGUUUCCCACCAUGAUGAUAAUGGACUAAACCACUGAAACCAUAAUCAAGUCCCAAUUAAAUGCCUUGGUCAUGGUGUCUCUUCACAGCAGCAUAACAGUGACUAAGACAAGUGUCUUAGUAAGAGCAAUGCAAACAGCUCACAAGGACGCACUCUGCAUUUGGCACCAAGAUUUUUAUUUCAAAACAUGUGGCUACUGGAGACAUCUUUAUCCACCUGUGCAAAGUACAUCAAUUCUAACUUUUUCUUUUAUUUUUAAAUUAUAUGUUAGCUUGUUUAUAAAAUCCAUAUGAUUUUUUCAUAUCUCCUUUGUUUUAAUUGAACUUCCCUACAACCUCAAACAUUUCCCUAUGCCCCCAUCCCCAUUUAAACCUUUCCACCCCUGGCAUUCCCUCUCUCUACUUUUGUAUCUCUCGUGUUUUACUAUCUAACCACAAGACCCUCCUCCCUCUGCCUUAUGGCUCUUUCUUACUCCCUGGCCUUUAUGACAGUCACUCUCAUAUAAACAGAGAAAUCUGACAUUUCAAAGGUAGGAUCUACAUAUGACUGAGCAUUUGUCUUCC
rnacentral:lncRNA from 1 species